CAGACGGUUUUAAGUUGUCUCGUGUAGGCACCGAGAACUGAACUCGUGCCCUCUGCAAGAACAGUACCUGACCUUCACUGCUGACCCAUCUCUCCAGAUAAACAAUUUUUAAAACAGUGACACCACACGAUUUUCUUACUCUACGCAAAAAGAGGAAACGCACUGCAGUGGUUUGAAUAAGCGUGGCCCCCAUUGGCCAUUUAACUGCUUAGUCAUCAGAGAGUGAUGCUAUUGGAAAGAAUUAGAGGCGUGGCCCUCUUGGAGGAGGUGUGGCCUUGAUGGAGCAGGCAUGCCCUGUUGGCAUGGGUGUGGCCCUGUUGACGUGGGCGUGGCCCUGUUGAUGUGGGUGUGGCCCUGUCGAAGGAGGUGUGUCACUGGGUUGGAGUUUGAAGUUUCAAAAGCCCAUAGCAGGCCUAUUCCUCUGCCUCCCAGCUGCCUGUGGAUCAAGAUGUAGAACUCUCAGGAGAUGCCUUCCGCAAUAUUUCCCUAAUACCUCCGUAACCAUGGGGACCAGAAGGAAGACUGCUAAGAGCCCUGCCUUCUAAGAUUCACUCUUGGGACAAGGAUGUUUCCCUGGAAAAACCAAGGUAUCAAACAAGAGCAGAAAUGGAUUCCGAGCCCUUGAAGGCCCUGAGGUUCCAGCAAGAAAAACACAGGCUUCAGGCUAGUGUGUGUAAGUAUCAUGUAUACUGUGUGGGAAGGUGAUGGGGGUAUAUGCUCCCGGUGGGGCACACAAGGGUGUUCACACGCAUGUACACAUGCAUGUUCACAUGCAUGUAGAAGCCAGAGGUCAGCUUCAGGCAUUGUUUCUCUAGAGACCUCACCUUGCUUUUAGUUUGUUCACAUGUGCAUGGGUAGGCAUGCCACUUCAUACGUGCGGAAGUCCGUCCUCUCCCUCUCCCAUGUCAGAUUAGGGACUCGAACUAAGGUUGUCAGACUCAGCAGCAAGUGCCUUUAUCAACUGCAGUUAGUUACUGUUCUGUUGCUCUGGUAACACCAUGACCAAGGCAACUGAUAAAAAGAAUGACCUGCAAACCACUGAAUUGAGAAUGGGACCCCCGUUGAAGGAAUCAGAGAAAGAACUGGAAGAGCUUGAAGGGGCUCGAGACCCCAUAUGAACAACAAUGCCAAGCAACCAGAGCUUCCAGGGACUAAGCCACUAUCCAAAGACUAUACAUGGACUGACCGUGGACUCUGACCUCAUAGGUAGCAAUGAAUAUCCUAGUAAGAGCACCAGUGUAAGGGGAAGCCCUGGGUCCUGCCAAGGCUGGA